rnacentral:misc_RNA from 1 species
CCAGAGUGCCUAGUGCGAGUUUUAUUCACAGAAACAUGACAGAAACGCGUUUAUACGUGAAGAUUAUUUUGCAUGGGAAUUUAAACAGUGCAGCCUAGACGAUAAAGAAUAGUACACGAUACAAUCGAUACAGAGCCAUCUAGCGGCAAACGCGAGAACUAGGUUGAAAUGCCGAAUUUCCCAUACAAAAUGAAGUUAAAAUUUACGUCCGUUAUUGCGAGACGGAU